UACGAAGGGGGGCUAGCGUUGCUCGGAAUCACUGGGCGUAAAGGGUGCGUAGGCGGGUCUUUAAGUCAGGGGUGAAAUCCUGGAGCUCAACUCCAGAACUGCCUUUGAUACUGAGGAUCUUGAGUUCGGGGAGAGGUGAGUGGAACUGCGAGUGUAGAGGUGAAAUUCGUAGAUAUUCGCAAGAACACCAGUGGCGAAGGCGGCUCACUGGCCCGAU
rnacentral:rRNA from 1 species